rnacentral:rRNA from 1 species
UACGUAGGGAGCGAGCGUUGUCCGGAUUCAUUGGGCGUAAAAGAGCUCGUAGGCGGCUUGGCAAGUCGGGUGUGAAAACUCCAGGCUCAACCUGGAGACGCCACCCGAUACUGCCAUGGCUAGAGUCCGGUAGGGGACCACGGAAAUUCCUGGUGUAGCGGUGAAAUGCGCAGAUAUCAGGAGGAACACCGGUGGCGAAGGCGGGUGCUGGGCCGAAUGAUGCUGAGGAGCGAAAGCGUGGGGAGCGAACAGG